UCACAGGAUUUCCGUCAAAGACACUUCGCACUGCAAAAGCAAGCACGGAUGAAGCAGGUUCUGGAGCUCAUAAUAACAUCCCUGGGCUACAGAAGUUGGAGACCAUGCUUCAAACCAGCCUUUGUGUUAUUAGAAACAGCUUUUCAAGCGCUACAAAGAUAACAUGUGUACAAUAACAAUAUCAACACGGGGCUAAAAGGUCGGGUUUGUGGAAUCCAAGCAUUUGGAAGAAACCUUUGAGAUACUCUUACUGUAUAAAGCUACAUCUUUGUUAGGGAACACACAGUGUUAUUUUCUCUUAAGGUGUGGGGCCCCUUUAAAUGUGUAACUCUGCAUUAUUAAACGGUCGUGGGAAGUGUAGCAGGAGGAAACCCCGGGUAAUUGGCUGCAGCUUCAGAUGCAGCAGCUUGCUCAUUGGAGAGCAGAGGAUUCUCCGAGUUGCUAAAAUUAGAUGAUCUCCGCCCUCCAGAAAUGCUUCUGGAAACAGCAAGGAGGAGAAAUUCUGACACAGAAGGAUGGGGGAAGGAGCGAAGUGCACAGGACGCUGCUCGUGGGGAAGCUUCAGCAGAUAAGGAUGCACAGACGGAUAUUGAUAUAUUUUUUUUUUCCUAUCUUGGCUAACUGGGAGCAAAAUGCACACACCAAAGAAAUUGCAAGAGAUUAAAGUCGACAGUAUUUUGUGAGGAUAUUAAUUUCAACAUUUCUUAUGUAAUCAUCUGAAAUAUUCACUGGGGCCGAGGAGGCUUUUGAGCUGCCAAACCUAGGCUCAGCAUUGUAAGCACUUACUUUGCAAACAGCUCUUGCCAAAUUAAUCCUGAGCUAAAAGAAAAAGUAGAUGAACUCCCAAAUUUUUCUAGGAAUUCAUUUCUCAUAAAACACAUCUUUCCCUUAUCUGUGAGUAGUUGCUGCGUUUACAAUACCUUCAAAUCAACUGUUGGUUAAGCUGUCUCUGUUAGAGAAGCCAACAUCAUAUGCCUGUAUUAGCAAAGUCAGUCUAUAUCUGAAUUGUUCAAGCCUUGAGCAUUUUUGUCUCUCGGAGCCUCUGUUUUUGGGGUAUGAGGAAAACAAACAAUUUCAACCUUUGAUUUGUAAACAUGCUUCAAACCGUCAGGAAUGAGGCUACUGUGAUUUUGUUUCUAAUUUCUAUUUGUACAUUGUUUACAUUACUUAUGGAAAGUAUGGUUAAGGCAGAGUGGGUCUUUCUUACACAAAAGCCUGCUUUGGCAGGAAACUUCCAUUUCUUCUGCUGGCCAUUACUAUGCAACGUUACAUCUAUUGCUCUCUGCGCGUUUUGCCUUGUGCCCUUUCUCCUUUGCAUCAGCUUUCAGCCUGUUUUCAAUAAAAAGAAAUGAAGC
rnacentral:lncRNA from 7 species